rnacentral:rRNA from 1 species
AUGAACGCUAGCGGCAGGCCUAAUACAUGCAAGCCGAACGGCAAGUUGAGUAGCAAUACUUGACCUAGAGUGGCGUAAGGGUGCGUAACACGUAUGCAAUCUACCCGCAACAGGAGGAUAGCUCUCCGAAAGGGGAAUUAAGCCUCCAUGGGAUCAUGGGGUGGCAUCACUCCAUGAUUAAACUACCAGGGGUUGUGGAUGAGCAUGCGCAUGAUUAGUUA